GUUCUGCUUGUCAGCACAUGCUAGCAGAUAACAUACUUCGUUAUUUGGUAAGCCAAGCUGAUACACAAGUCAAGCCGAAAGUGUGGAGCCAGACUUUUUGGCGAAUCUCUUUCUGUUGAUUUGUCAUCUAUAAUUUCUACAUCACCUAUCAAGACAUCCAGGGAAUCUAUUUUACUAUCUAAAAAUUGUAGUGACACACUUUACUUACUGUUGUUGUCUGCUUGUGUUUUACUUGCAGUUGAAGUCAGUUUCCAAGAGCUGUACAAUCAAGAUUCAAAGCUCAAGGUUUAGUGUUCAUGCAGUUAUGAUCUCUGUGGUGCAUUUGGAGCUGUCUGUAGUGAUAUGAUGCCCAAGUGACCACAACAGGAUUACCUCACGAUCGAGUCUCUUCAUUAUAGCUUCUCUUUGUUCGCCGAGUACACUUACUUACUCAGUUUGCUUGGACAAUAUUUUAAGUUUGCGUGCAUGUAACCGUAACUCAACAAAUGUUAGUAAAUAUGUAACCGUAAUUAAAUACACAUAUUC